AAAUGUCACCAUAUCUCUAUAAUCAGCUUGCUAGAAUUUUACUCUGGAAACUCCCUACAGGGCUUGGCUUUAGGCUCUUCCUUGCAAACUCCACCAUUAAGCACUGUGAAAAGAAUCCUGUUCUGGGUUCUGGCACUGUUUGUAAAAUUAGUGUUUCCAUUGUUUGAGCCAGGGCUGAAAUCAGUGUAACAGUAUUUGAUUAUGCUCUAAAGCAUCACAUGUGAUAGUGAAUAAAGUGAUAGUGAAAUCCUUUGGAAAAAAAAAAAGUGCAAAAGGGUCCUGGAUCUGGUGCUGGACUGCCACCGACCCUUGACUGGACCAACAGACGUAUCAGGAGAAGAAGUGCUUGUUGAGGGAUCCCUGGGUCUUUGGGGAGUCCCCAUGCAGACCCCAGGAUGGGCGGGACUGGCUAUAAAAGUUGUAGCAGAGCCUGUUUGUGGUGGUGCUUUUGGAAACUGAAGGCCUUGGUGGGGGCAAGGUGAGGGUUUGCGGGGAGAUGGCCACUAGGGUGGCCAUUGCAGGGUGGCUGGUGUCCCUUCUUACCUGGCAACUCAGGACUAUGUGCCGUUUCUUCCUGUUGGCUGAAUCACUCAGUCUUUCCACGGGUAUGUAUUGUUUACCUUGUAGAUGACAAGCACUUGAACUUGCAGGCCACAAUCAGAGAUGCUCUUUUCUUGUCUUCUUCUCCAGAUAACAAGCUCCCGUAUGGAGACCGGGACACUGGGCGUCUCUCCCUGCCUUUCUGCAAACCAAGGGUGCAAAUUGGUUUGGAUACCACGGUGACACUAGAAACAACCGUAGAGAUUGGCCAUUCUUUGAACUGGAUUAAAAGAGAAGGCAUCAACAAGACUGCUAAAUGCAUUGCAUGGCCUAGGGUAUAUAUUCCGUAAGUGCUAGUUACCACUCUGUUCACAUUGAUGAUUGUCUUCAUGGAAAUACAUAUCCAAAGUCAGUGCCCAGCUCAUUUGGUUUUAAGCCAGUAAUACAUACUUUUUUUUUUUUAAUUGGAGUUCAAUUUGCCAACAUACAGCAUAACACCCAGUGCUCAUCCCACCAAGUGCCCCCCUCAUUGCCCAUCACCCAGUCACCCCAACCCCCCACUUACUUCCCCUUCCACUACCCCUUAUUCAUUUCCCAGAGUUAGGUGUCUCUCAUGUUUUGUCACCCUCACUGAUAUUUUCACUCAUUUUCUCUCCUUUCCCUUUAUUCCCUUUCACUAAUUUUUUAUAUUCCCCAAAUGAACGAGGUCAUAUAAUGUUUGUCCUUUUCCGAUUGACUUAUUUCACUCAGCAUAAUAACCUCUAGGUCCCUCCACUUCAAAGCAAAUGGUGGGUAUUUGUCGUUUCUAAUGGCUGAGUAAUAUUCCAUUGUAUACAUAUACCACAUCUUCCUUAUCCAUUCAUCUUUCAAUGGACACCAGGCUCCUUCCACAGUUUGGCUAUUGUGGACAUAAUAGCUGCUAUAAACAUCGGGGUGCAGGUGUCCUGGCAUUUCACUGCAUCUGUAUAUUUGGGGUAAAUCCCCAGCAGUGCAAUUGCUGGGUCGUAGGGCAGAUCUAUUUUUAUCUCUUUGAGGAACCUCCACACAGUUUCCCAGAGUGGC
rnacentral:lncRNA from 1 species